UGGGAGCAUUCAAUUUCAGUUCAGCUGAUGGCUUUGUGUAUCUAAGGUAGAUUUCUAUAUUUAUGUCUAUAUAUAUAUGCUUACAUUCAUACAUACAUACUACCUAUAAAUGCUCACACAUACAUAGAAAGAGAGAUCGAUUUGGCUCUUCUGUGCUUGAGCUGGACGAUGAAAAGUUAUUGUGAUGCAUCUGCUACACUUGUGGUCUUUGAGCGAAGGUAUGCAUCUCUGGAAAAUUAUGUCGCUGAGCCAAUCAUAAGUUCAACAGAAAAGCAGCCACUCCUUGAAACUCCAGGAGAAAAAACUCAUAUACAGGUAUGCCUUUGAAUAUGGGAGCAAUUACUUUUAGUUGAAAGUGAUGAAGUGCACUUAGGAUCAACUUGAAGUUUCUGCUUGGCUAUGUACUGAACAUAUUUCUACUUGUUGUAUACUGAAUGUAC